rnacentral:rRNA from 1 species
GGACGAAAGUCUGAACCAGCCAUGCCGCGUGCAGGAUGACGGCCCUACGGGUUGUAAACUGCUUUUAUACAGGAAGAAAAACUUUCUCGUGAGAGAGCUUGACGGUACUGUAAGAAUAAGGAUCGGCUAACUCCGUGCCAGCAGCCGCGGUAAUACGGGGGAUCCAAGCGUUAUCCGGAAUCAUUGGGUUUAAAGGGUCCGUAGGUGGACAGAUAAGUCAGAGGUGAAAUCCUGCAGCUCAACUGUAGAACUGCCUUUGAUACUGUUUGUCUUGAGUUAUUGUGAAGUGGUUAGAAUGUGUAGUGUAGCGGUGAAAUGCAUAGAUAUUACACAGAAUACCAAUUGCGAAGGCAGAUCACUAACAAUUAACUGACACUGAUGGACGAAAGCGUGGGUAGCGAACAGGAUUAGAUACCCUGGUAGUCCACGCCGUAAACGAUGGUCACUAGCUGUUUGGACUUCGGUCUGAGUGGCUAAGCGAAAGUGAUAAGUGACCCACCUGGGGAGUACGUUCGCAAGAAUGAAACUCAAAGGAAUUGACGGGGGCCCGCACAAGCGGUGGAGCAUGUGGUUUAAUUCGAUGAUACGCGAGGAACCUUACCAGGGCUUAAAUGUUAGGUGACAGAUCUAGAAAUAGAUUUUCCUUCGGACACUUAACAAGGUGCUGCAUGGUUGUCGUCAGCUCGUGCCGUGAGGUGUCAGGUUAAGUCCUAUAACGAGCGCAACCCCUGUUGUUAGUUGCCAGCGAGUAAUGUCGGGAACUCUAGCAAGACUGCCAGUGCAAACUGUGAGGAAGGUGGGGAUGACGUCAAAUCAUCACGGCCCUUACGUCCUGGGCUACACACGUGCUACAAUGGUAGGUACAGUGAGCAGCCAGUGCGCGAGCACGAGCAAAUCUACAAAACCUAUCUCAGUUCGGAUCGGAGUCUGCAACUCGACUCCGUGAAGCUGGAAUCGCUAGUAAUCGGAUAUCAGCCAUGAUCCGGUGAAUACGUUCCCGGGCCUUGUACACACCGCCCGUCAAGCCAUGGAAGUUGGGAGUGCCUGAAGUCCGUUUCCGCAAGGAUCGGCCUAGGGUAAAAUCGAUAACUAGGGCUAAGUCGUAACAAGGUAGCCGUACCGGAAGGUGCGGCUGGAACACCUCCUUUCU